rnacentral:lncRNA from 1 species
UUGCCUAUCUGUUCUAUAAUUCCCAAGGGCUACCACUCUUCCAACAGGCACCACCAUUUUCCCAGGUGUCAUUUAUUCAAAUGUACCCCCUACACCAGGCUCUCUGAAAGAAAAUGGAAGAGGCUCAGCUGAGCUGCUGUGGUUCCCACCUUUGAUGAACUUAUGGACAAGAGAAGGAAGUGAACAUAAAGAAGAAUGCAACACACAUCCUCCUUAAGAGGGCUGUGUCUCUGUCACAGUUCUGCAUGAUAGAACUCAAAAGAGGAAAUAUUAUUUGGCUCAUGACUUCAGACGGCUUAAGCCCAUCGUGGUGGAAAAGGCAUAUAGCAGAAGUAUGUUGGACUCUGGGUCUAUUGAGGUAGACCAGAAAGCCAGAGGAGGAGGGCUGGAACCAGAAGUGGGUAUGACCAUCAGAGGCCUGCCCCUAGUGACCUACUUCCACUAGCUAGGCUCUACCUCCUAACGGUCCAAUGCUUCAGUGAUGGACUGAAACUCUAAGACAAGAUUUAAAC